rnacentral:piRNA from 1 species
UGCAAACCUGCACUAGAUUGUGUAUGUACA